CGAGGGGGGGCAAAUGUUGUUCGGAAUCACUGGGCGUAAAGGGAGCGUAGGCGGGCUUCUAAGUUAGGUGUUUAAUCCCAGGGCCCAACCCUGGUCAGGCACCUAAAACUGGGAGUCUUGAAUAGUGGAGAGGUCAGUGGAAUUGGGGGUGUAGCGGUGGAAUGCGUAGAGAUCCCCAAGAACACCAGUUGCGAAGGCGGCUGACUGGACACAUAUUGACGCUGAGGCUCGAAAGCAUGGGGAGCAAACAGGAUUAGAUACCCUGGUAGUCCAUGCUAUAAACGAUGAAUACUAGGUUUUAGGUCCCGUCAACGGUCUAGAGCCGCAGCUAACGCGUUAAGUAUUCCGCCUGGGGAGUACGCUCGCAAGAGUG
rnacentral:rRNA from 1 species